rnacentral:lncRNA from 1 species
GAGUCAUUGUUUUACUCUUUCUAUCUGCAUGACUGCUUUCUUAUGAUGAGUAGUGCCCAUCACUUGCCUCUCUGUGCCCUGUAUGAAGGAGCAUCCACUGCGCUUACUAGUGGGUAUGAUUAAAGUCAAGAGCGGGUCUCUCAGAAAAAAGGACCUUAUCUGUAUCUGUCUCUCUUACUCGAACUAGCCACCCCUUGGGAACCGUCUCCCC